UGUCAACCUGCACCAGCUGAGGAUUUGCCUGAAAACAGGUGAGGUCCUCAUUGUCCCAUUUGCUGUAUCUAUCCCUAGAAAGGGCUACUUUUUGGGAAGUGUCUUUGAGAGCCUUUAUCAGCAGGGUAAAGGUACCUGCGGCAGCUGCUUUGCAGGUCCCCUGCUGUGCAAAUCGCCCUUCACAGAGGAAGAUCUUCCUGUCAGUGACUGACAAGAGGUGCCAGGAGCAGGCUACCAGACUUUUGAAACCUAAAUAAAGAUGCCUUUUAUAUUUUCUGAGACUGACAAUGUUGAAGAGGCUCGGAUACAUGGUGUCAAAAGAAAUUUUCACCAAGUGGCAUUUUCCAGGAAUGGCAUGCAUCAGUGUGGAAACUGUGGCUAGCCAGCAUUUUUCACUGCUGAUGGCAGGAUUCCAACCAAAGGCACCUGUCCUUCCCAGUGACUUGCGUGACAAGUGGGUUGGGGCCAGAAAAAACAAGAUCUUUUGUUAUUUAACCAUAAGCAAAGUAACAAAUCAAGUAGCAGGGGUUCUGAUCUGGGCCUGGUGA
rnacentral:lncRNA from 1 species